CAACGUGACCUUUCGGAACUGUGCAGAUGCAAGCAGGUUCAAGCAUGAGUACAUUCUAACAUCUGUGAGAUAUGGGAACCAGAAAGGAGGAAACGUUGCUUUAAACAAGUUUUGGUAGCACGUGCACCGUGUGCUUGCAGUUUUGCAGGCAGAAGAUGGCGCCAGAUCCCCUGAAACUAGAGUUACAGACCCUGGUGUGCUGCCAGUGAUCCGAAAAUAUUACACAAGAAGGAAGGAAUCGGUUACUGUCCCUUUCAUUGCUGACUGC